GCAUUCCGUUCCAAGGCCUCUGUGUGCCCGCGGAGUAGCCAUCAUGAGCAAAGCUCACCCUCCCGAGUUGAAAAAUGAAAUUAAAUGGUGGCAGACAUGUCCAAGGAAUAUUGCGGGGAUUUGAUCCCUUUAUGAAUCUUGUGAUAGAUGAAUGUGUGGAGAUGGCGACUAGCGGACAACAGAACAAUAUUGGAAUGGUGGUAAUACGAGGAAAUAGUAUCAUCAUGUUAGAAGCCUUGGAACGAGUAUAAAUAAUGGCUGUUCAGCGGAGAAACCCAUGUCCUCCUCUCUCCAUAGGGCCUGUUUUACUAUGAUGUAAAAAUUAGGUCAUGUACAUUUUCAUAUUAGACUUUUUGCUAAAUAAACUUUUGUAAUAGUCAAAAAUGUUUUCUCAGAUGUUCUGAAUAUAGAAUAUUAGCUCUCAUUCUGAUUUUUUCUGACAUGAAUUUUCCUGGUUGACACUGAUUUGAAAGGGUUUUAUGCAUUAAAGUGGACGAAUCUUGUUAAAUGUGAAACAUGGCAAGGAUUCCUUUUGUCCAUCUUUCUUUUAUUUAUUUUAGUUAUUGAGAAAUGCUCAGUGUCUGAUAAUGUCCAUCUUUCAACACUAAACAGAUAAAGAAGUUGCAAACAUGAAUGAGUUUCUUCUAAGACAUUAAUUUUCAAAACUUAAGAGUAACUCUGAUCUAGUCUGACUUUCCCAAGAACAUCUACAUUCCAAAUAUAGUACAACAGAAGCAAAAGACAGGAAGUAAUGGUGAUGUAGUUGUUUAUUUUGAACAUAAUCAUUAAGUGGGGGAAAAAUUUAAUACAAGAGUAGAAAGCAGAUUCCAAAGGAAAACAUUCCAGUGUAUUGUGGUUCUUUGUGAGUAGAGAAGGGUAGUGAGGAUGCUGUCCACAAUGUAUUCAUCUAGUUAAUGAAUUUUAUGGCCCACAACCUCAAAUGAGAGAUACAUUACAGAUGGUUGUAUUAUAAACCUAAUCUUAAGAAAUCUUACCAAGCAAAUGCUUAAGGCUGAUUUUUUUGUGAUCUGAUAAAAAGCCUGCAAAUCAUGAUUCACUUUAAAACUGUACAGAAUGAAAUAUACACAGUUCUUGUAAAACACCAAACACAAUAAAUGGCAUAUAUAUAUAUAUAUAUAUAUAUAUAUAUAUAUAUACACCUCUCUCACUCUUAAAUGGCAUUUCCUAAUUAUAGAAAAUGUUUACAACAAAAGAACCAGAGGGAUCAAACUAACAAUCUCAGUAAGGAGAACUCAUGUGAAGUCCCAUACACUUAUUCUUCGUAAAUCUUCACUGACUUUUUUCUUUUGCAGCAAUGUAGAGCUGAAUUUAGAACUACUUCAAGUGUGGUUUCCAUAAGUAGAACAGCAGCAUCACAGGGGAACUUAUAAAAUGUAACUUCUUGUGUCCCACAAUAAACUUAUUGAAUAAACAAACAAGGUGGAGCCCAGUGAUGUUAGUCCUGCAGGUAACAAGCAUGCUCAACUCAGCUAGAGAACCACUGGAGCAGAGGUGGCUUUUCAUUCAGCCCCUGCAUCAUUUUUACCAGUCUCUGUGUUAAAAAAAAAAAAAAAAUAGAAUGGUCUGGAGCAGCAAGCUCUGACAUGUAGAGCUUUUUUUUUCUUCCAAUAAAACUCUUCUUUAACACUAUAGUUCCAUAAAACUACCUAAUGUGCCUGGAGUAGCAGGCUCUGCUAGUAUUUUUCUCCCAGUAAAAAAGUAAUACUAUAAUUGCAUUAAAACUACUUAAUAUCCUUGGUAUACUGAUAACCUGUUUUGGUUUUGCCAAAGUAAUUUCAGAUGCCCUACUGGAAAAUUUAUCCAAAGUAGGUUGGAUAUAAUACCAGCAACAUUUUUAAUUGGUUUUUUUUUUUUUUUUUGAGACACAGUAUCACUCUGUUGCCCAGGCUGGAGUGCAGUGGUG